rnacentral:lncRNA from 1 species
AGUAGCCGUUCAGUUCUUCAGUUCCAGAGUUCAUAGCACAUAUCUCAUGAAUGCGUCACCUGUAAUUUAAGCUGGCGAGCGUGAGGAUGCUGCCGUGGGCGAAGGCACACCUGAACCCGACCGGGCAGGCCCUCAUCAUCUCCACCGUCGCCGGGAUGGCCUACUUCAUCGUGGCCGACAAGACCAUCCUCUCCAUGGCCAGGAAGCACUCCUUUGAGGACGCGCCGGAGCACCUCAAGAACACCUCCUUCCACUAAUUAGACUAUAAAAUAGAUCCAUUAGUAGUCCGUAAUAGUCUGCACGCCGGACUGGAAGUGUCUGCUGAAAGAUGGUAUUGUAAUGUUCAGGCAGCACUUCUAUGAAAUCAGGCGAGUGGUGUAGUACUGCGCUUCUUUGCCCGCAAGAACUUAUCUGAUGAAGUGAUCAUGUAUCCACCCAGUAACCUUGAAUUAAUAAUGACUUGCAUUUGUACAACUCAGGCUCACCUGCCAUCACUCAUCUUACAUUUUCUUGUUUGUGAUUAUCGUUUGAAAUGGGACACUGGGAGAGCAUGCACACGGCCGACACAACACCGCAUCAUUUGAUCCCCUACUCCUCAACUGUUCUGCGGUGUACGUCAGGAUCAUGCCACCCCACUUUGUUAAAUCUUUUGCGGACCGGGCUGCGGGAGGCAGGUGGCUCUGUAGGGUGGCCCCAGUAAUCUUUCACUUCAAAUGUUGUGUACUGCUAUUUUGAACAUUUGUAAUGAUAAAUGUGAGUUUAAAUCGCCACUUUUCAUUUAGUAUAUACAUCCGAAUGUACGUACUCCGUAUUGAAAUCUCUAAAAGGGCUUAUAUUUAAGAACGGAUGGAGUAAUAAUAAGUAAAAGUUGUAAAAAAUUAAAUUUGGCAUGGUGACGUUGGUACAUGAACUUGUCAUGGAAAUCUCACACGAUUUCUCGAAACGUGGAAAAAACACUUGAUUAGAAAUGGCCCCUUUUGGCACAGUGUCCGAAUAUUGGUACAUGCUUAGUAGUUUUUUUAUGAUAAAAAUGCUGGCAAUGGAUCCACAUCUCAGUCGAUUCCUGGAGCUAAGCAGGGUGGUUUUCCUACUGGGCUCCUUCCAUCCCCAGUGAGGCCUUGUUCGGUUAAGCCACUCCCCAAGUGGAUUGGAGUGGAAUAGAGGGAAUUUGGGGGGAAUUUGAACUAGAUGGGAUUUAAUCCAUGCCAAUCCCUCUCAUUUGCCAUGGAACCGAACAAGGCCUGAGGAAAACCAGACCCCAUUCACGAAUCACAUGAGAGUAUGAAAUCUGAUGACUCAUUACAUACCACUUUGCUCAUUGAGUCCAUGGCUCGUGAGAUGGAUCAUGAUGAAAAAGUGAGCCCAUGUGUUGGAAAAGCUCUUACUACUUUAUGCAUGAGUGGUGAAAAAAAAACUUAUUCUGAUGUGGUAAACACUCUUCCUAAGGUUGUGGAGGUGGAUGAGCAAAAUGACUCAAAUCUGAAAAUCAUCAAUGACUACAUGGUCGAGUUGCCUGACGUUCAAGUGGACAUUGAGGUGAUUCCUACACCUCCCUUAGUUACGGAAGAGAAUCUGCGUUUCAGUCUGCGCAAUGUGCAAAACAAGAUGGCUAGUGUGGAGGAAAAAGCUAUGGCAGUGGCUAAGAAGAGGGACAUUGAAGGUACUCCCAGAGACCUCAACUCUUUUGAUGCAUUAUCAAAUUCUGAACUUAUUCUUAGAGCAGUCAAGAUGGGAGUUAAUAUUCCAGGUGCAGAUUUUGAUAGUGUGGAUAUUCUAAGGGAAUUGAAAAAUGUAGAAUCAGGGAUAGUUUGAAUGNNNNNNNNNNNNNNNNNNNNNNNNNNNNNNNNNNNNNNNNNNNNNNNNNNNNNNNNNNNNNNNNNNNNNNNNNNNNNNNNNNNNNNNNNNNNNNNNNNNNNNNNNNNNNNNNNNNNNNNNNNNNNNNNNNNNNNNNNNNNNNNNNNNNNNNNNNNNNNNNNNNNNNNNNNNNNNNNNNNNNNNNNNNNNNNNNNNNNNNNNNNNNNNNNNNNNNNNNNNNNNNNNNNNNNNNNNNNNNNNNNNNNNNNNNNNNNNNNNNNNNNNNNNNNNNNNNNNNNNNNNNNNNNNNNNNNNNNNNNNNNNNNNNNNUGGGAAGAAAAAAGAGAGAAAGGUUAAUAUUGUUAUAUCUGGACCUACUACCAGAAGUCAAAAAGGGGGUGUUUCCUUACAAGAUGAUAAGGGUAACUCUACUUUGCCUCCUAGUAGAGUUACCAAGAGGGGGGGGGGGUCAAAAAGAAAAAAAUGAAUGGUCUAUUUUUGAAUUGGAGAGGAGCAGGUAAGAAAGGGAUGACUACCUGCUUCUCUGAAAUCAUUAGAGAUCAUUCCCUCAACUUUAUUGGCCUCCAAGAGACUAAGAAAACCAAAUUUACUCCUAAGUACUUGAGGAAGAUUGACCCCUUUGAGAGAUUCAAUUUGAACUGGGUCCCCUCCAUUGGAAAAUUGGGUGGGAUUUUGUGUGGGGUCAAAAAGAGAAACCUUAGACAGUGUUGCAUGGACAGUGGGUAAAUAUCUCCUUCAAGUUAAUGUGUUUGAUGUAAAGCUAAAAUGCAUGUGGGCCCUCAUAGUUGUAUAUGGGGCUGCCCACGAUGAAAAUAAAGAAGAAUUCCUAGCUGAGUUACCUCGGUCUGCUCCCAUAUUAGAUUACCCUAUAUUAUGGGUGGUGAUUUCAACAUCCCGCGGGAUAGUAGCGAAAAAAAUAAGCACUUGACCCGUUCUCAUUAUGUGGAUAAAUUCAAUGAUGUCAUUCACUCCUUGAACCUACAUGAGAUAGAUAUGGGAGGAGGUAAAUAUACUUGGACCAACAACCAAAAACACCCCACCUUAGAGAAACUAGACAAAGUUCUGAUGAGCUUUGAUUGGGAAGAUCUCUUCCCUCUAGUCACGGUUUGCAAGUCAGUAAGAGAUAUGUCAGAUCACAAUCAUUUACUGUUAUCCUCGAGUCCUAUGAAAACAAGCCCCCUUCACCAUCGUGAAUUUAGAUUCGAGCGUAGCUGGCUAAAAAAUGAGGUUUUUUUAUCAUAAAGCUAAGAGCAUUUGGGAACAGUAGUUAACUCGAGUGACCCGAUUGAUAUCCUUAACAUUAAGUUGAAACGUAUCAAGAAAUACUUUAAAGGUUGGGGAUCCCACUCCUUUGGCCAUGCUAGAAAAAGAAAGCAAAAGAUAAAGGAGGAGUUAGAAGAAAUUGAGAAAAAGGAAGAGGUCGGACCCCUUGAUCCUGAUAUGUAUGAAAAAAGAACUACCUUAUGUGCUGAGCUUAAUGACAUCCUUGCUGAUGAGGAACUCUUUUGGCUACAACACUCGAACGAGCGUUGGCUGCUCAAAGGAUAUCAAAAUACUGCCUUUUACCAUCGCGUUGCUAAUGGGAGGAAAAGAAAAAAAUGCUAUCCAUUCUCUAACGAAUGGGGAGGUGGUAAUUGAGGGCACAAAAAAUCUCCUAGCCCAUGUCACCUCCUUCUAUAAGGAUCUGUUUGGCCCAGCCAGAGGAAAUCUUUUCCUUCUGUCCCUAGAUACCUGGACUGAGGGAGAAAAACUUACUAGCGAAGAUAAUUUCCUACUCACUAGUGAGUUUAUAGAGGAGGAAGUUAAAAAAGCCUUGUUUGGCAUGGAGAGCAACAUAACCCUUGGUCCGGAUAAUAUACCGGCAGGAUUCUAUAAACACUGCUGGGAUUUUGUAAAAAAAUGACAUAAUGUGUCUUUUUAAAGCUUUCCAUGACAACACGUUGGAUAUUGAAUGCUUGAAUUAUGGAGUGAUUACCCUACUCCCAACAAUGAAUGGGGCUAAAAAAAUCCAACAAUAUCGUCCCAUCUGCUUACUUCGGUGUCCCUAUAAGCUAAUCACCAAGGUGCUUGAUAAUAGGGUGGCUGUUUAUGUUGAUAAGCUAAUCAGCCGGCAUCAGAAUGCAUUCAUUAAGCACAGAAACAUAAUGGAUGGGAACCUUACUCUCCACGAGGUGUUUCACCACACACAUCACAAGAAAAAGUGGGGUUGGUCUUGAAACCGGACUUUGAAAAAGCCUACGACAAGAUUAAUUGGGAUUUCCUUCUGGAAUAUCAUCGUAACCGUGGCUUUGGUAAAACCCGGUGUGGAUGGGUGGAGAAAAUUUUACACAAUGGCACAGUGAGUAUUAGACUAAAUAAUGAAGUGGGCCCUUAUUUCCAAAGCCACAAAGGAGUACGCCAAGGCGGCCCCUAUUCUCCUUUUCUAUUCAACCUAGCUGUUGAGACCCUACCGAAGAUGAUCCUUAAUGCUCAAAAAGAAAAACUCCUUACUGGGUUGGCUCCUAAUCUGAUUGAAUGGGGAGUAGCUAUCUUACAAUACGCAGACGAUACUGUGAUAUGCAUAGAACAUAAUAAAGAUGCUGUUGUAAACUUGAAACUUCUGCUAUAUAUGACCGAGCUUAUGUCAGGCCUAAAAGUCAAUUUCCUCANNNNNNNNNNNNNNNNNNNNNNNNNNNNNNNNNNNNNNNNNNNNNNNNNNNNNNNNNNNNNNNNNNNNNNNNNNNNNNNNNNNNNNNNNNNNNNNNNNNNNNNNNNNNNNNNNNNNNNNNNNNNNNNNNNNNNNNNNNNNNNNNNNNNNNNNNNNNNNNNNNNNNNNNNNNNNNNNNNNNNNNUGAGGACACGCUGGCCUUUUAUGCGGAGUUGUUUAAUUGUAAUAUUGGGAACUUCCCAAUGAAAUACUUGGGAGUCCCAGUCGGUUAUUCAAAUCUUCGUGUCUUGGAGUGGGACUUUGUUGAUGAAAGAUUCCUUAAAUGCUGCGAAGCCUGAAUUGGGAAUGCAGCAUCCUCGGGAGGAAGACUUAUACUACUCAAUUCCUCACUUACGAGCAUUGUGUACUGAUACGUCCAUUUUGCAUCAUGCAGCAUCCUCGGAAUGUAGAAGAAUAAUACAAUGAAAGUGGCAUAGUCUUUCUUCUCUUCCAGCAAUUGAUUUCCCACUCUUGCUCAUAUGCAUUCCACUAUGAUGAAGCAGGUCCAAGUCUCUCGCUUGACAGCAGAGUAGGGCAGGGUGUGACUCGGUGUUAACCUUGGCCUGAAAUGGACAAAAAUUAUGAUAUCAUAGGGAGAACAACAUUAAUAACAUAUGAAAAUACCCAUUAUACAUAGGGGAUUACCUAAAAUUGGUGAUCAUAUUUCAUUGCCUGUGCAUGCAAUCGCCAUUUACAACAUUUUGUUUGCCUACAAUGCGCCCUAAGCAUUUUUUGGUUAAUCUUUUUUAGUGAUAAACUCAAACUCCCUUCUAUAGCCAUAAGUUGCAAGUGCUUAUCUACAGUCCUCCACGGAAUCAAUGAUAGUCUCUGCUUUCAUAUUAGAGUCGCCCUACCUAAGGAGAUUACAGACCUAUCAUCUUCUUCUUCUAGACUGUGAGAUGCCAUUGCCUAUUCCUUGUCGUCGUCAGUCAAAUAGCCAGCCACAUACACAUGUCGAUAAGUUUUCUCAUCAUUAGUGGGUAAAUCUUACCAAGUCUAAUUGUUAACAGCAUGAAACAACAUCCACAUGGUCCUCAUAGACACGUGUCUACCAAACAUCAACAACAAACAAUCAUCAUCAGCUACGUCAAUAAAUUUCUCUAGUGUCAUAGUGCCUCAUCAGGUAAUGCUCGUUGGGAUGAUAGUAAUACUUCUCAAAUUGCUUAAUUCGGUCCUUCUGACUUACUAACAUAGCGUCUAUAGGCAAUUGAUAGUGAAACCCGCCACUAAUUUCCAAGCUACCACCGGUCAAGCGAUGGGUGUAACACCCAUGCAGAAUUUUCAAGAACAUCAAGAAGUUGUUUGGAGGUACAAUCCAACGCAAAGUAGAAAAUCAUGAGUGCGAUAUUCGAAUAGAAAAAAUGUGAAUCGUCAAAAAGGUUCAAGAUAAUGGUGGAUUUCUUACCCCCAUGGGCGAAACGAUGCUUUCACUAGGCUCCAGAGGCCCUGGCCGUCGUAAAGAUCUGUCUGAGCGGAGAUCAUGAGAACAUCGAGGUGGCGGUGGUUGCGGAACAGUGGGAGAACGUGACUCGAAGUGGUGGGAAGAAGAGGGCCCCUACCCACCAAUAUUUAGGAACGCGCCACUAUCGACGGCUAGAGGUGGCCCACAACAGACAAAGACAUCAGGUUGGCAAAAAUGGAGAUUAUGGCCUCAACUACGUUCCCCCACAUCGGUUGGAAUGGUCAAAGGGCUCCUUAUUAAUAUUGGUGGCACGAUGUCAAAGUGGAAAAAUGGAAAUUGUGGCCUCAACGGUGUGCCUCCACAUCGGCCGGAGUCUUCUCGUCGCUGCGGUUGAUGUGGCGAAGUAGUGGGUCCCAGAUGGAAUGAGAUGAUGUGUGGGGCAUACAUCUAAUUCUUUUGCAAUCGCAAGUGGCGUGGACUAAAAUACGGAAGUUUGAGUGACAAGACUCAAAUAUACAACUUUGGCAGCGGCACAAACCUAUUUUUCCAUAAAUAUAAUAUUAAAAAAAUCCCUCAUGGGUUUGAUGAUAUUGAUUGGAAAUGUAUAUGUUCAUACUUCUUUCCUAUAAACUAUAUCAAAGCGUAAUCAGACAAAAGUAAUAUACACUCUAUUUUGAAAUGUAGGGAGUAAGCCAUAUCUAUAAAAUAUCAUGACCAUGGCUAUUGAUGAUUUCUCUAUACUACUCAUGUCAUUUAAUAGGAUUUAUUGGCAUUUAUUUGGAUAAGGAUAACCUUUUGUUGUGGGUCGGAUAAGGAUAAGCUUGAUGCAAAAGAAACUGAAACAUGCCGUUUAAUGACAUUAAUUGGAUAAGGACAACCUUAAUGCAACCACAUCUACAUAAGACGACUGAACGGUACAAAUCAUGACCACAAAAACCAUAUCGAUUGAUAGACUAUUGCAUAAUUACAUAUUCUCAGUUGUUCUGUGUUCUUAGGCAAUGACAAAAAAUAGCAUCUUCCAAGUGAUCAUAGCGUUACUCAUGGUGCAAGUCUGCUUGCUCAUGAUGAUGGCAGCACCGGCAGCACAUGCAGCUGCUAGACCAGUGGGGUACAAUCCAGUGUGCUGUCCUAGGAACAUUUACUGUUGCGGGUUCGGUGGCGCAUUGGCCAAUGCACCCGCACCAUCCAUUGAGCCUUGAUGUGUGGUGUUAUUGUCUCCUCGAGGUAGUAAGCUCGACAUAUAAAUGAUAUAUGUAGUUUUAUUGUCUCAUGUGUUACUUGUUCCUGAAUAUUUGUGAUGCUAUUUUCAAGAAGAUAUUGUACUAGCUACUUAUGUAAUAAAAUGGGAGGAGAUUAUUAUAUAUAUUGUGUUAAACAAAGAGAUUCAAAUUUAUGUUUACGUUAUUCCUUUUGGAAACAAGAUUACUUGGACACAUUGCUUUAUGGCAAAAAACCAGUGGUGAGGUGCGUGCCUAUGAGAAUUUCUGUUUUAUCGUUCCGUUGGUCCUCCAUUUGUCGAGAUUGUCUGGGUCGUGGCAACAUGUUUUAUUUUUCACAGAGGUCAUAACUUUUUGUAGCAUUUAUUGAGUGAUGGAGUACAUCACCAAUUAGUAGAAACCAACUACUGUUGGCGAUGCUUGUUUAUGAAUCAAGGGAUCCACACUCUCUUCCUUUUUUGCAAGAAGGCCGAGGCCAUGUAUUAAAAUUGUCCAACCCUUACAACACCAUCCUUACAACAGAAGAAAAAUAGAAAACAUAUCCUGGGUUAUAUCAAGGGCGUCUUCCUUCCGGACUUAUACGGCGUGAGCAAAGCUCGAUGUCGCCUUUGGAUUUCCAGAACACCUUAGAGCCAGGGUAAAUCAUUCUCUACAUUUUUCAAGUGAGUGCUCAAUUCCUAAAAAACAGUCAAAUAACUAGUAUAUAAAUACAACUUUUUAUUCUUUGAUGGAGCACGAAGGGAUUGUUUGCCGUGGAUCCUACAUGUGUAAUCUAUAUAUUAAUCUAUUACUAUACUAAUUAGAGACACCUUCGAAAUUCCCAUGGUUAAUCAGGAAAUACGAACUGCUCAUCUGGUGGGACCAAAUUAUUGCGGUGUAGAUAUUUUAAUUUUUUCUCACAUUAAUAAAAAAUAAACAGUAAUUAUAAGCCACACAUCUGGUGGGACUAAGUUAUUACCGCUAGAAUUUUGCUCCAUUCUAGUAAGCACAAAUAAUAAUCACUCAAAACUUUGUUGUAAAAAUAGAACCCUACAAAAUUACAGUUCAUUCUCUAGUCUCAACAAUUCAAAAGAAGAAAGAAAACUCCCAUCUCAAUAUGGGCACUACACAGUUUCUUCCUCUCCCCAUUAAGAAGAUCAUCAACCGCAAACAAUCUCCAUAUAUUCCAUGGCCACGCAUAGCACUGUCCAUUGGAUUUGCGAUCGAUGGUCUUGGUCGUUGGCGGAGGCCUUCCUCAAUGGUGUGGCCGAACUCGAUCUGCGGGUGAGGUCAAGAUACCGCUUUGGUCCUAGAGGUUUGGUAUAGGGUCUCACAUAAGGAAAAUGGACGAAAAAUUAAGUGAAGGCAGAGAACCCAUAGACAAAGAGAAGCGAAGUUUGUGCCCCAAGCUACUCACUAUGCGCACGUGGUUUCGACACUAGAUGCUGUUUGUUAUUACCAACCAUUUGUAGGCAGUUUGAUUGUUCUAACUAAACCUGGGCAAACGCCUGGUCGGGCCGGGCUUGUAAAAGCCUAACCUUCAUUUCUCAAGCCUGGCUCGAAGCCCAAAAUACUCUCUGUUUUCAAGACCGAGCCCGGCCCGAAAUCAAGCCCGGCUCGGACGCUGUUUUUAUUGUACGCACGUGCAAGCCUGGCCCAAAGCCCGAAAGCCCGGCCCGAAAUACAGAUAAAGAGAAGCCUGAGCUCGGCCUGAACUAUCUUCCAGGUUGCAAAACAAGGCCCGAGCCCACCCCGAAUGUCAAGCCCGGCUGGGCCCUGUCUGUUCAUGCCCGAGUUUAGUUCUAACCCCCACCAGUCUCGGCCUCUGCAUCAAGCGAUGCACACAGUCAUUUAUUAAAAAGUAUCGGGUCUCAAAGUAUGAGUAACAUCUCAAAUUGCCAAACAAGAACAAGAAAUCAAACAAAUAGUUACAACUGGUAAAAUAGGACUAUGCCUGAACACCUAUCUUAUUAACGGACCACCAUCUAAACAGGUUGUAGUAGCCCGUGCAACCAUCUCCCAUGGGUUGCACCCAAAAACCAUAAGCCCGCUCUCUACCACACGGUGCAGUAAUGACCACUUAGGGAUCCAGCCAGUUGCCUGGUAGAUAACCUGCAAAAAGCCUGUGCUAUUUGUCUUGUUAAAAACACAAUCAUUCCGAUAGUUCCAAAUAGCACAAAUUAAUGCACAAACUAAUUUGUGUCGUAAUAUUGGGCUCAACCCCACCUAGCCAGUUACCAAACAAAUUGGAGAUAAUAUUAAGAGGAGGUACGUUCAAUGACACUUGUAUUGUUCGUCACGAUAAGUUGGAUAUGGGGCAAGUGAGAGACAAAUGUUGAGUCGUUUCAUCAUGAUCGCAAAACUACACCGUUUACUCCCCUCCCACCUACGUUUUAAGCCAACUCUAACCGAUCCCCUACAAAAUAGAUGAGGAUCCGUCCGAGCAAAGCUUGGUGGAUUAUAUUUACUCCACUAACUUUUGGCCGGACAUAGUCGAUCCUCUAAAUAUAACAGAGUAAAACUUUUAAUUGGCUUAUUAUGCAAUUCGUUGAACAUGGUGUGCGUCUGCUUGGGGACUCCGACAUGGCGAGCACCCCGACGGCGAGGAACACGGAUUAAACACAUAGCUGACCAGGAUGCAGAUGUUGACAAAAACUGCCACCAAGAUGGCAAGCCAGCCAUUGCCAAUUGCAGCGUGUUGCUUCUGCUGGCAAGCUAAACAUUGCUAAUCACCGGCCAGCACGGCUUGCUACUCGCAUGAUCCUGCUCGUCCUGCACCCCGCCUCGUCCCCCAUCGCGUGUUGCAGCUCCUGUUGCUUCCCCCUGAGGCCUUGUUUGGUAGAGGUGGAUUGAGGAGGUUUUGAGAGGUGGGGAUUGAAGAUGAUUUGGUGAAUCCUUCCCUUUCACCCAAUCCUCUUAAAUUCCCCCAUUUCCCCAAACCCCUCACAUACCCCUACUAUUUGGUACAUAGGGAUUGGUACACUGGGUUUGCAAGAUUACUAUACUAUAGUUAAAAAUGCAAUUUUGACAACUUCCAAAGCUCAAAGAAUCAGUGGCACUCAGAAUCUUUGCUGCAGCCUCAGAUGAUUAAUAUUACCAAGCUAACAUUAAGCAGUGGCACCCAUGGCAAGAAAUGAAACUAGCAAGAUGGAUGCAAGAAUAAGAGGAGAUAAUUAUUAACUGGUGUAAAACAAUCAAGAUAUAACAAGCAUAUUAUCAUGGAGGACUAAAAAUGUAAUGUAAGAGUGAAAACUACAAAUGAUGCGAUAAUACUGAAAUUUCAUUUGUAGAUGACUUUGUACAGGGUAAGUUUCAUGCACAUAAAGCAUCCAAGAUCAUGAUUUCCUGGUGUUUGGGGGACAAGAAAAUACGUGAGAAUUAGGUUCUGAAAAGAAGAAGAAAAUACAGGCGACAGUGCAUUUAUUCAGAGCUUGUUCCUCAAACAAACAAGAAUUGGCCAAUUGAAGAGUUUGCAAUGGAGACAAGGCCUUGAUUUAGAGCAGUUAAUUAGUCCCAAUAUAUUCAGGUGAUAGGUAAUGAUGAGAAGGAUUCACAAAGCAAGCUAGCAAGAUUCGAAUUCAGGCGACAGGGAGCACCGAUUGGGUGGCUUCCAACUUUCCUAGACCCUGACAACGAUUAUCCAUCAAACGAUAUAUCCAUCCAUCCAACGAUUUUCCAUCUAGUGCUACAUAUAUCUCUAGAUAGGCAGAUCCACGACAGGGAUUGACAGCAGUCACCAGGUGGAGCUGGAUACGCAUGGAGCUGGACAAGUUCUUCACUCCAUGGGAGGAGGAAGAAGGCGUGUCCCCCGCCACGGACCUAGGGUUUGCAGGGGAGGGGAUGGAGAAGUGGAGGACUGGAGGAUUCAGCUCGGGAAGAACCGGUGGAGGAGCGCGUCGACGAUCUGGUGGCGGCGGGGCGAUGAAGAUCCGGCAGCGGGACUCCUCCUCUUGGUGGCGGCGGGACGAUGCUCUGUCUCGGUGCGUCUCGCCCGUCUCGUUCCCUGCGGGUGCCCUCGAGGCUUGAAAGACGCGUGGAUAGGAGGGGAUCGAAGGGGGAUCGAGGGGGUUGGGUUGUGCAAACCCCGUGAAACAAAUGGGCCGCCAAAGUUUGUCGAGGUUUUUGAGCCCCGCGGGGUUAAUCCUCUCGAAACCCUCUCGAUCCUCCUGUAUCAAACGAGGCCUGACGGAGGACUGCACCCCGCCACCGGGCUCGACCAUGUAGUGCCUGAAGGGCCUGAACUCCUCCGUUGGACAGGCCUAAGGAAAGCUGAAGCUAGAUGGCGUCGCCGACUGCCUGCGAGAUGGGCCCCGGCAGUGAGUGUGGUGCUGCGUGGCACGAUGGCAGCAUGAGCUGCAGCUUGAGGUCAUGCCGAAAGCUCAUGCCACAGGCGCUCGGGAUGGGACGUGGCACUAGGCGGCGACCCGAUGAAAAGCCAGUGGUGGAGGCGAGGUCGCUGGGGGAGGUGGGUGGCCUAGGCUGCGGGUGGUCACCUAGGGGUGCCGGAGGAAUAGGGUGGCCACAGAGUGGGGAUGGCGCGGUCUUAGGGGGUGGCCCCAGAUUUUACUCGGCCGCCUCCAGGAGGAGUAAAUUUAGGGGUUGGAUAGCCGGAUGAGUAAAAUUUAUCCACCCUAGUACUUCGGCUAUGUGCAGCAUAAAGAAGGAAAAUCCAAUUUAUCCUCCCUUAUAGCCCGAUAGAGGAUCGGUUAGACUUGGUCUUACUAAGUUGUCCUUUGUUAAAAUCACUCAUUAUGCAUGAAUAACCUAAAGGUCUUGAUUUUAAAGGGGCCUUUGCUUUUUAAACUUGAUUUCAGCACGUCCAAAGACCGGUUUGGGUAUUACAGGUGAUGUCGUUCUGUUUGUUCAUAACUGCUUCUAGUGCCCGUUUUUCCUACUAGUGAAUAUUGGUUUCGUGCAUCGAUUUGGGAUGAUUGCUUUGCUCAUGGUGUACUUCGGCGAGUCGGGGUCGCUGGUCGCCUGCGUGCAGCUAUGAAGUUAUUCGUGCAAUUUUUUUCUUAAUUAAUAAAAAUGAAAGUCUUUUACCAAUUUAACAAAUCAAUUAGCAUUAUGCCGAGGAGGGACUGAGGGAGGCCGGCCAAACUGGGGUUGACGAUUGCCGACGCGGCUAGGCGAGCUAGGCCAAAAACAAGGAGCGCUCACACAGACAGAAAUGGAGUGCACGCUGACUGACACUGCACUUACGCACAUCGGCACAUGGUCCUACCUAUACGUGUUAUCCUACGCACGCUCCGUGCCAACCCCGAUGGACGUCUGCCUCCUCUUAUCCGGUGCAGAGUCUAGUAGAGCGCCCGCCCAUCGCGUGCUCCCAUUUUAAUAUGACCAACGAGGCGACGCCACUGUACCUGUGCUCUGCCCCGCCGCACCGCCCCCCGGUUCUACCAAAACCACGGUCUUGCCUCCCACCGUAUCAACUCGCCAUCCUUCCCGCCCGCCGGUUGCGCGGUUUCCAGCAACCUAUAAAUCCCGCCGGAGCACCUUGCUCUGCCAAUCUUAGCUCAUCUCACUCACACUGCUUACUUGACUUCACUACCUAGCUCACUUCCUUCGGAUCUCGUGCCACCAAGCUCUCUUCCACGGCCACGAAGAUGUCUACGGUGACCGGUGCCCACCUAGACCAGAGGCUCGCCGCCGCCAAGCGCUGCUCCAGAGGUAACCAAAACGAUGUCCCGCCGGUCCUGCCGGACAGCAACGCUCGUGUCCUUCUGCUGUCCGCGUCGCAGCCUAUCCCCUCAAAACUUGAUCGUAACUGACAUGUCUCUGUUGAUUUGAAACUGCAGAGGCUGCCAUGGCGGGAGCCAAGGCCGCAGCCGUCGCCACCGUCGCUGCCGCAGUCCCCACAGUAAGUAGCCAUUCAGUUCUUCCACGAAAUCCUUGCACGGUUCAUAGCAUGUCUCAUGAAUGCGUUAUCUGUAACUUCAGCUGGCGAGCGUGAGGAUGCUGCCGUGGGCCAAGACGCACCUGAACCCCGCCGGGCAGGCGCUCAUCAUCUCCACCGUCGCCGGGAUGGCCUACUUCAUCGUCGCCGACAAGACCAUCCUCUCCAUGGCCAGGAAGCAUUCCUUCGAGGACGCGCCGGACCACCUCAAGAACACCUCCUUCCACUAAUUAGGCUAUACUUUCAAUAAUUAGUAGUAGUGCGCAAUAAACUACACGCCGGCCCGUACGGCCGUACGUGUCUGCUGAAUGAUACUAGUAUGAUGUUCAGCGAGAGAGGCGAGGCGAUGCAGAUCAGGCCUCGCGCUUCUAUCCGUGCAAGCACUUAUCUCAUGAAGUUACCAUGUAAUCCAGCUAGUAUUCUUGGAUAAAUGAAUACUAGUAUUUGUACAACUCUAGUUCAUCUGCCAUCACUCAUCUUACAUGUGGCAGAGCAUAAAAAAAGAAUCUCCGACGCCGACCCCUAAAACGGACACUAUACCCGUUUGUGAGCCGGUCAUUUGACGCUAAUCCAUCAAACGUCCAGGCACAUUUCAAAUAGAUUUUAAGCAAACUAGAUAAAGCUCAUAUAGAUCAAACGAUUUUCAUUUAAUCCAGGUCAAAUUCAUUACAUUUUAGAUAUAUUUCAACUAAACAAAACCGGACGACACUGUUUACCCCGGUCUAAAUAUUCGUCGGUCGUGGAGGCCUUCGUGUUCCGCAUCAUGUCUUUACCAUGUCCGGCAAGUUCAGUGGCCGCAAGCUUUUGUGAAGUGAAGUGGCCGGAGGGGAAGAAUAUAACAUCAUGUCUUUACCAUGUCUGGCAAGUUCAGUGGCCGCAAGCUUUUGUGAAGUGAAGUUGCCGGAGGGGAAGAAUAUAAGAUGGGACACGACUCACAUGGGACCCGAGACUUGCCCACAUCAUGUUCUUCCCGGCCAGAGUCCAUCAUGUGGACGUUGCCGGGCAUGGAUGGAUCGGCCUCGUGGCCAUUACGGUUAGGCACGAACCGUGCUAGCGGCGCGACCAACGAGGAACUGGCGACGUCUGUGAUGUUUCUGCCCCAUCUUCGUCCGUCUCCGCGUCGAUCUCCAUGAGCAGGGUGUUAAUCGCCUCUUGCAGGACGCAUUGCCGCCAUCGCUUGCGAGGGAUGUCGUGAACUGCGGCCAACGACCAUGAGGCGAGUCCAUUCAACAUUUCCGACACGGAGGUUGUCUCAUCUCCAACGACAAGUACAACCAGGAUAGUUUGAUCUAUGUACGAUGUAGUACGUGGUUUAAUUUUAUGUUCCAUGAUGUAGCAUAAAAAAAGUAGAGGAUGAGAUUUGAGGUUUAGAGUAUCUCUAGCAGACCCCGAAAACGAGGACCUGUAAACUCAGUUUAAAGUUCGCUCAUUGCCUCGGAUACGGGCCGAAAACCUCCGCGAAAGAACAGAAACCGUAAAUGGAACUGUAAAUUUUGAAUUCAAGACUUCGCGGAAGAAAUAGAAGAGUUCAUAGUUCUUGAUCAGCAUACAUAGUUCAUACAUACACUAAAUUACACUAAAUAGCUAGGAGGAUAGGCAGCCACCGUAACCCUACAGUUAAAAAUUGGCUCAUCGGAGCCAUCAUGGUGCGGUGGCGACACUGCGGCGGCGGACAUCAUCAGUCGUCGGAAACGAGGUCGACGUAGAUGUCGUCCCGCGCCUUCUUCUCGCGGCGCCGUGUGUCUUGGUUGUCGACGAACUCCUUCUUCGCGAGCUCCUGCUCGAGGAGGACAUCGUCGAGGUUCACAAGGGAUUGUCGGCGCCCCUCCUCCUCCCCCCGCACACUGUGCACCAUGAUUGCCCACUCGAAGAUGUCCGCNNNNNNNNNNNNNNNNNNNNNNNNNNNNNNNNNNNNNNNNNNNNNNNNNNNNNNNNNNNNNNNNNNNNNNNNNNNNNNNNNNNNNNNNNNNNNNNNNNNNNNNNNNNNNNNNNNNNNNNNNNNNNNNNNNNNNNNNNNNNNNNNNNNNNNNNNNNNNNNNNNNNNNNNNNNNNNNNNNNNNNNNNNNNNNNNNNNNNNNNNNNNNNNNNNNNNNNNNNNNNNNNNNNNNNNNNNNNNNNNNNNNNNNNNNNNNNNNNNNNNNNNNNNNNNNNNNNNNNNNNNNNNNNNNNNNNNNNNNNNNNNNNNNNNNNNNNNNNNNNNNNNNNNNNNNNNNNNNNNNNNNNGGCGUGCGGGGACUGGACCCCCGAUGGAGGAGGAGCCCGCACCGGCGGUCGUACUCCUCCAUCUCACGGAGGAGGAGCGACUCCAGGGAGUGGAGGUCGUGGUUGGUGUACUUCUUUGCCGCGCGCUUCCUCGCGCCUUCAGCUCGGACACGCCGCUGGCGCUCGGGGUCGUCCCUCCCGCCGAAGCUGCGGCCGGAGCUCCACAUUCCGCCCCACAUAGUGGCAUUCGGUGGCGGGACUGGACUCACCGGCGACGAGAAAUAGAAGGGGGAUUGGGGAGGAUUGGGGAAUCGCGGCGGCGGGGGAUAGGGUUUCGACCCGUAUCGGCGCCGCGAACCCGUAGAUAUACCGCGUCCGGGGACGGCUUGCGGGCCACCAUAAAAUGUUUUACGGGCCGGGCGAGAAUACGGGCUCUGUUCUGGACAAAAAAAAUGGGCGAGCCCGUACAGUCGUCGGGAUUUUACGGGUCUACGCGUUUUGAGGGGUCUGCUACAGAUGCUCUUAUGGUUGCAGCGAAAGAUAAAUGAAGGGUGACCCGGCUCUGUCCAGGGAUGGGUCCAGAUGCAUUUGCGAACAUAUGGGGUCACUUUUGAAAUAUGCAGCUGUAGAUAUUGUAACAUUACCAAGAUUUUCACGGAAUUGUAUCGGGAUGCUUUUGUGUGUGGAAAAGAAUAACUAGUUUCCUACCUCUUCAUCUUUUUUUUGCAGGAAAGACUAAAAUAAAUCUAGAAAAAUGCAAUCACCAAUGCCAAUUCUAGAAUUGGAAUCUUGGUGGGCUAGGAUACCACUGUUCUCCUAACCAUCGAAUCAUUUGCUUCUGCCUUUUCAUCUUAAUAAUUCACACAUCCAUAUUUAUAUUUAUUAUAAACAAUUGUGAGUAGGAGUAAUAAAAUUCAGCACAAAUCAAUCAGUGGCGGGAGAAACAACGCCACAACCGGUGUAGGCAAACAUGCCUACACAAAAAGCAUAAUAUUGCAUCAUCUAUCCUACGUGAAAUGUUAAGUUAUUUUUAAUUAAAGAUAAAUUAUUUGCCUCAUCUAUUAAGUAAGAAAAGACAUGGGAGGAGCGUUUUGGCUACUGGGAGCAUUUACUCCUGGAUGAGCGGUACCGCCAAAAAGGUUGUAAAUCGUUUUUAAAAAAUUCUGAUUUUUUAUGGAUGUUCGUGUUAGUGUCGCAACCUUGCUUGACAAAUUUCAUGCGAUUCGGAAUAUCAGUGUUUCAUCGGUGAAAAACCAAAUUUGGGGUGACAUUUUGGGGCAGCAUUUGAUGUUCAUAUUUGUUUUGUUUUCAUAGGCCAAAAUGUUUAACCUUUUUGCCCAAAACUUUGCAGUAGCAUUUGGAUCUAAGUAUAAAUACAUAAAAUAAUUGUUGGAAUUUUUGUAACAUUUCAAAAAAUUGUUUUUCACACGCAGGAGCACAUGCUCCUGGGAGCCAAAUUGGAUUUCCGGAGAAUGACUCUAAAUAAAAUAAAAGGACAAUAGAGUGUGUGUUAGAAGCCGAAAAUGUGCUCAUUUUUAUUGUAUUCAUUUGAUGCUUUAUUUUGAGUAAUAUAAAAAGCACGAUGGUGAGGCCGACCCCGCCAAACAAAGGAUCAGGCGCUCGCGGAAUUGGAUCGCCGACGGGUUGACCGUAUACUGGGAGCGCCCACACAGGUCGCCAACAAACGGAGUGCACGCAGACAGAUACUGCUCUCACGCACAUGCUCCUACGUGUUAUCCUACGCACCAACACGCUCCCCGGCAACCCCGAUGGGUCGAUCCGCUGCAGAGCCCGCCACUUGUGUUCUGCCGCACCAAAAAAACCACGGUCUUGCUGGCUUCCCACCGUAUCAGGUCGUCUUCCUGCCCGGCCGCACGCUGGUUGAGCGGUUUCCUGCAACCUAUAAAUCCCGCCGGAUCACCUCGCUCUGCCCAUCUCAUCUCACUCGCAUUCACUCAACUGAUACUACUAGCUAGUCCACUUCCUUCGGAUCUCUUGCCACCAAGCUCUGCUCCCGCCAAGAUGUCGACGGUGACCCGCGCCUACCUCGACCAGAGGCUCGCCGCCGCCAAGCGCUGCUCCAAAGGUAACGGUUCGGGCCUCAGGCCAGCACUGCUCUGCUCGUAUAUCCCACCCAUUGCAGCCUAUGCUUGUGCUGAAACCUGACCUGGAUUAACAUUUCCCUACGUUGAUCCGAAACUGCAGAGGCUGCCAUGGCGGGAGCCAAGGCGGCGGCCGUCGCCACCGUCGCUGCCGCAGUGCCCACAGUAAGUAGCCGUUCAGUUCUUCAGUUCCAGAGUUCAUAGCACAUAUCUCAUGAAUGCGUCACCUGUAAUUUCAGCUGGCGAGCGUGAGGAUGCUGCCGUGGGCGAAGGCGCACCUGAACCCGACCGGGCAGGCCCUCAUCAUCUCCACCGUCGCCGGGAUGGCCUACUUCAUCGUCGCCGACAAGACCAUCCUCUCCAUGGCCAGGAAGCACUCGUACGAGACGGCGCCAGAGCACCUCAAGAACACCUCCUUCAACU